GGUCUGGAUAGGCCCUACACACAAAACACCUGACACAGCCAUACACAGGUCUGGAUAGGCCUACACACAAAACACCUGACACAGCCAUACACAGCCAUACACAGGUCUGGAUAGGGCUACACAC